AUCCGCUACCUACACCCCUCUUCUCCUUUCUCACACUCCAUCUCUGAAGCUUGCAGGCUCCAUGUGCCAUUUCAGCAGAUUUCAGGGUGGUGAUGGCCGUGUUCUUUUGAAAAUCCCUCUUCAUAAAAUAUGAGCAAAGUCUCAGCAUGUGCGGCUUGUUUCCAGUUUGAUGUAAACGUUGGGCGCAGAGUUCUUAACUUGUUAAUUUGGCAUGGAUUUACCAUAUUGUUUGUCAGCUUAUAGGAAUUUGCCAAAACAUGUUAAAACUUUAAAAAUGUGGAAGUGAAAUAUCCUCAUCAGUAGCUUGAGUUUUUUUUUUUUUUUUAUUAGGAUCAGUUGCUAGGUUUGAGUCUAAGUCUGGGGCAAUUUAUUCAAGACCUUUGGAAAUUAGAAAGUGUACUUGUGAACUUGAGAUCCCUUGUUGAGAUGAGUUAAUUCACCGAGGCAUA